GCAAGUCGAACGAUGAACCACUUCGGUGGGGAUUAGUGGCGAACGGGUGAGUAACACGUGGGCAAUCUGCCCUUCACUCUGGGACAAGCCCUGGAAACGGGGUCUAAUACCGGAUACCACUCUCGCAGGCAUCUGUGAGGGUUGAAAGCUCCGGCGGUGAAGGAUGAGCCCGCGGCCUAUCAGCUUGUUGGUGAGGUAAUGGCUCACCAAGGCGACGACGGGUAGCCGGCCUGAGAGGGCGACCGGCCACACUGGGACUGAGACACGGCCCAGACUCCUACGGGAGGCAGCAGUGGGGAAUAUUGCACAAUGGGCGAAAGCCUGAUGCAGCGACGCCGCGUGAGGGAUGACGGCCUUCGGGUUGUAAACCUCUUUCAGCAGGGAAGAAGCGAAAGUGACGGUACCUGCAGAAGAAGCGCCGGCUAACUACGUGCCAGCAGCCGCGGUAAUACGUAGGGCGCAAGCGUUGUCCGGAAUUAUUGGGCGUAAAGAGCUCGUAGGCGGCUUGUCACGUCGGGUGUGAAAGCCCGGGGCUUAACCCCGGGUCUGCAUUCGAUACGGGCUAGCUAGAGUGUGGUAGGGGAGAUCGGAAUUCCUGGUGUAGCGGUGAAAUGCGCAGAUAUCAGGAGGAACACCGGUGGCGAAGGCGGAUCUCUGGGCCAUUACUGACGCUGAGGAGCGAAAGCGUGGGGAGCGAACAGGAUUAGAUACCCUGGUAGUCCACGCCGUAAACGGUGGGAACUAGGUGUUGGCGA
rnacentral:rRNA from 1 species